rnacentral:lncRNA from 1 species
GGAAUCUCUCUAUUGCUCUAGUUGUCAUGUCAAAAAACUACUUAGACAGACUAUGAAGAGAUACAUAGGGUGAGAAACGGAGGCCUUCAGCCAACAGCUGGGAGAAGCUGAGUCCCAUCAGCCAUUCAAAAGACUGCAGCCCCAGCCAAGAGUUUGAUGUAACCUCAGGAGAGACCCUGAGCCAGAACCACCUAGGCCAACGAGCUAUACCUAGUGAUUCCAAAGUCCACAUAUAUUUACUCUGUUCUCACUGUACAAAGUAACCACUCUGAAGUCAAAAAAGCUGGGAUACAUGAAGACUGCCAUCCCUUGAGUCACUUGCCCUGUAGCUGCCACUGUUGGAAAAGGGCUUGCUUCUGUGUCCUUGUGCCCACUUUGAAAAUCCCUGGGAAGUCCUUGGAGUCAGAUGAGCAGGCCUCCGCCACUCUGCCAAAAAGUCUGUUCAGAAGUUUCACAUCACUAGAGAAGAGAGAAGAAGGACAUUUGUACUGGGAGGAGUCGACCGGUCCCAGUAAGGAGAAAGUAGCUACAGCGUCAUGGGUGAGCUGGGUCCCCCAAAAAGGAACUUUAAGGGAAUGGACUGAAUCAAGUCUGAGAUGUCCCCAAAGCAAGACCAAAGAACUGAGGAAGAGAAGCAUUCAUCAGAAACCAAAAUUCAGCUACAAGUGAGCAUCCAGAUGGAGGUAUUAUGAAGAGGAACUGAGACUGAGGGCAAAAGGUGCCAGCCAGAAUCCUGGAUAGGAGAGCAAGAACCAGGACCUCAUUUAAGAGACAACCUGCUUAAGGCAGAGUAAGGGUAUUUUUCCUCUGGAAAUGAGCUGACUAGGCACGCUACUUCUACUUGAAAAAGACUGAUGCUUGUCUUACACCAUUUUGAGGUCACCACAGUACAUGACUCAGAAUCAUUAGACAAAUGUUGAUUGAAUAUCUCCUACAUUCCAAAUACUGUGUUGAAUGUGGUUAAAGCAUUAAAUGUUAAUGGAA